UACGAAGGGGGCGAGCGUUGUUCGGAUUUACUGGGCGUAAAGGGCGCGUAGGCGGCCUUGUCAGUCAGGCGUGAAAGCCCCGGGCUCAACCUGGGAACGGCGCUUGGGACGGCGAGGCUGGAGUUCGGGAGAGGAGAGUGGAAUUCCCAGUGUAGAGGUGAAAUGCGUAGAUAUCAGGAGGAACACCGGUGGCGAAGGCGGUUCUCUGGGCCUGAUCUGACGCUGAGGAGCGAAAGCGUGGGGAGCGAACAGG
rnacentral:rRNA from 1 species